rnacentral:lncRNA from 1 species
CCUCAGAGAAAGUAGUGUUGGACCUUGUCUUGGAAAAAUGAGGAAAUGGCAUUAUUAUGUAUCUUGCAGCGUUCAUUCUGAGGUUUCGAGGAAACAUGAAGCAAUGAUGACAGAUUGGAUCUGACUUUACUGCUAUGCUGAGUUUGUUCAAUCCAACCCUGAGCUUCAUGUUGUCUUGCCCUCAGAUGUACAAUGUCCCUGCUAACUCCAUGGCUUUUUUCCCCCAGGAGUAUGCAGAUUGUCCCUUUAGACAAACAGAUCACAAUCAUAGAUAGUCCGUGCUUCAUUAUCUCACCUUGUAACUCCCCUGCUGCACUUGCCCUCCGAAGUCUCAUUUAACUAAUAAAAUCCUUUUCCGGUCUUCGGGCCUGACAAAUGGAAUACUAGAAGAAAAGGACAUCCCCGAAGAGUCACCAAAACAGACAGAAGACCAACAGGAUGGUGAUGAUCAAGAACAUGUUACUGGUGAAAAAAAUGCAGAGAUCUCAGAUGUGACUCCUGUAGAAGAGACCAGGGAGAUGUCACCUGGGCAAUCAACAGCAAGUAAACCAUCUGACAGAUCCUUUAUCUUGGAUAAAAUGAGUGAAGAAGACGAUGCCUAUGACUUUACCACAGAUUAUAUAUAGCCUUCUAAAUGUUCAAGUGUGCUCUGUACAGUGUUUCUAGAUUGCUUUGGUAUGAUAUAAAGUGUAAAUCUUGUGAAUAUGUAUCAUGUUCUAAAUUAAAAACAAAAUAAAAAGUGUUUGUAU